rnacentral:rRNA from 1 species
AGUGAACGCUGGCGGUAGGCCUAACACAUGCAAGUCGAACGGCAGCACAGUAAGAGCUUGCUCUUACGGGUGGCGAGUGGCGGACGGGUGAGGAAUACAUCGGAAUCUACUUUUUCGUGGGGGAUAACGUAGGGAAACUUACGCUAAUACCGCAUACGACCUACGGGUGAAAGCAGGGGAUCUUCGGACCUUGCGCGAUUGAAUGAGCCGAUGUCGGAUUAGCUAGUUGGCGGGGUAAAGGCCCACCAAGGCGACGAUCCGUAGCUGGUCUGAGAGGAGGAUCGGCGAAACUGGAACGGAGAAACGGCCGAGACUCCUAAGGGAGGCAGCAGUGGGGAAUAGUGGGGAAUGGGCGAACGCCUGAUGGAGCAAUGCCGCGGGGGGGAAGAAGGUCUUCGGGGGGUAAAACUCUUUUUUUAGGGAAGAAAAAAAGAAGAAGUAACUCCGCCCGUUUUGACGGUAACAAAAAAGAAAGCCCCGGCUAACUUCGCG